UUUCGGGGUCCCUGGGUGUCACACAGAUCUUGGUGGGACCUCCAAAUGAAAGAACCUAGAGGGGAAACCCCCACUCAAUUCCCAAUUCGGUGUGCACCCAAGAAUCAUGAACAGACGA
rnacentral:pre_miRNA from 7 species